rnacentral:tRNA from 1 species
UCUCAGGUAGCUCAGUGAUAAAGAAUCUGCCUACCAAUGCAGGAGAUUCAGGUUCAAUCCCUGAUCUUGGAA